rnacentral:rRNA from 1 species
UAGGACUACCCGCUGAACUUAAGCAUAUCAAUA